ACCUAUAUGCCAUACCAAUGUCUCCACACUCCUUGGUUAAGAGUGUUAGGAAUAGUGUCCCAAAGCCAAUUGUUAGCUUGUUGACGGUUGUGCUCAUUUUUGUAUAUGUACAUGAAUUAUGAAUUAAUAAAAAUUAUUUUGAUAUUUUUUAUCACAAAAUAUUUCAUCUUCUAAUGAACUCCUAUAUUGUGGUAAAGUCCUUAGGACUAUUUAGACUCGACAAAGG
rnacentral:lncRNA from 1 species